rnacentral:rRNA from 1 species
UGGGGAAUUUUGGACAAUGGGGGGAACCCUGAUCCAGCCAUGCCGCGUGAGUGAAGAAGGCCUUCGGGUUGUAAAGCUCUUUAGUCUAGGAAGAAAAAGUUAAUGAGAAAAUUGUUAAUGAAUGACAGUACUAGAAGAAUAAGCACCGGCUAACUACGUGCCAGCAGCCGCGGUAAUACGUAGGGUGCGAGCGUUAAUCGGAAUUACUGGGCGUAAAGGGUGCGUAGGUGGUUAAUCGAGCUAUAUGUGAAAGCCCUGGGCUUAACCUAGGAGUUGCGUAUAGGACUGGUUGACUAGAGUACAAAAGAGGGGGAUAGAAUUCCGCGUGUAGCAGUGAAAUGCGUAGAGAUGCGGAGGAAUAUCGAUGGCGAAGGCAAUCCCCUGGGUUGAUACUGACACU